GUUACAUGAGGAAGAGAUGAAGAGAGCUUAGGAAAGAGAGUUAAACAGUACGUGAAAUUGCUGAAAGGGAAACGCUUGAAGUCAGUCGCGUCAGUCGGGGAUCAACCUUACUCUUGUUGGGUGCAUUUCCUGAUUGACGGGUCAGCAUCAAUUUUGAUCAUAGGAUAAAGGUCAAGGGAAUGUGGCACCUUUCCGGGUGUGUUAUAGCCCUUGACUAUACAGUCGUUGGGAUUGAGGAACUCAGCACUUGUGCUUAGGAUGCUGGCAUAAUGGCUUUAAGCGACCCGUCUUGAAACACGGACCAAGGAGUCUAACAUGCCUGCGAGUGUUUGGGUGUCAAACCCGAGCGCGCAAUGAAAGUGAAAGUUGAGACCUUUGUCAUGGAGGGCAUCGACGCCCGGACCGGAGCUUUUGCGAUGGAUCUGCGGUAGAGCAUGUAUGUUGGGACCCGAAAGAUGGUGAACUAUGCCUGAAUAGGGUGAAGCCAGAGGAAACUCUGGUGGAGGCUCGUAGCGAUUCUGACGUGCAAAUCGAUCGUCGAAUUUGGGUAUAGGGG
rnacentral:rRNA from 1 species